rnacentral:rRNA from 1 species
UACGUAGGGUGCGAGCGUUGUCCGGAUUCAUUGGGCGUAAAGGGUGCGUAGGCGGCGCGGUAAGUCGGGUGUGAAAUCUCGGGGCUUAACUCCGAAACUGCAUUCGAUACUACCGUGCUUGAGGACUGGAGAGGAGACUGGAAUUUACGGUGUAGCAGUGAAAUGCGUAGAUAUCGUAAGGAAGACCAGUGGCGAAGGCGAGUCUCUGGACAGCAACUGACGCUGAGGCACGAAGGCCAGGGGAGCAAACGGG